AGGGGACAGGGCUGUAGUACCCUGGGCUUGCCCACAUGAGGCCCAGCAACUGGGAGCCAUGCCAGCAUGCCGCUGGCCAGGGACGGUUUGUGCAGAGUUUGAGGCCUCUCUCAGCAUCGUGGGUGGGCAGGAAAGGUGGGGCUGUGGUUGGCAGCUCAAUGAAACAGGAGUCUGAGGAUGAAGCCUGGUGUCUGGGCAGCUUCUGCAUGCCCACCCAAGAUGGCUCUCUGGGCAGGGCCAAGGGUGGUGUGUUACAUAGUACCAAUGGGCACAGGACAGUGUUUUCAGCACAGAGCAGUGGCCAGGCCACCCAAAGGAGCUCCGCCUGGACUUUGGCUCAGCGGUGCCACUGAGGACCCGUGUGACUCGCCAGCUCAUUCUCACCAAUCGCUCCCCAAUACGGACCCCUUUCUCCCUCAAGUUUGAGUACUUCGGGAGCCCCCAAAACAGCCUGAGCAAAAAGACCAGCCUUCCCGACAUGCCUCCUGUCCUGCUAAAGACAGUGCGGAUGCAAGAGCACCUGGCCAAGCGA
rnacentral:sRNA from 1 species